rnacentral:sRNA from 1 species
UACGAGAUUCGCGCCUCGAGGUGGCCCC